rnacentral:rRNA from 1 species
UGAAUACGAGACGCUAAGGCGUCGAAGUAGUGUAUGUCAUACUUCCAAGAAAAGCUUGCACUGUCAUAGAUAAAAAACGCCUGUACCAUAACCGACACAGGUGGGUAGGUAGAGUAUACUAAGGGGCGCGAGAUAACUCUCUCUAAGGAACUCGGCAAAAUGACUCCGUAACUUCGGGAGAAGGAGUGCCUUAUUCUUAAGGUUGCAAUAACAAGAUCCAAGCAACUGUUUAUCAAAAACACAGGUCUCCGCUAAGUCGUAAGACGAUGUAUGGGGGCUGACGCCUGCCCAGUGCCAGAAGGUUAAAGAAGUUGGUUAGCAUUUGCGAAGCUGAUAACUGAAGCCCUGGUGAACGGCGGCCGCAACAAUAACGGUCCUAAGGUAGCGAAAUUCCUUGUCGGGUAAGUUCCGACCCGCACGAAAGGCGUAAUGAUUUGGAUACUGUCUCGGAGAGGGGCUCGGUGAAAUAGACUUGUCUGUGAAGAUGCGGACUACCUGCACCAGGACAGAAAGACCCUAUGAAGCUUUACUGUAACUUGAAAUUGAAAUUGGACUUUAUUCGCGCAGUAUAGGUGGGAGGCGUUGAUUAUAAUCUUGCGGGAUUAUUGGAGCCAUCAGUGAGAUACCACCCUUGUAAUGUUAGAUUUCUAACUUUGAAUCAUUAUCUGGUCAAAGAACAGUUUCAGGCGGGCAGUUUGACUGGGGCGGCCACCUCCUAAACGGUAACGGAGGCGUACAAAGGUUUCCUCUGAACGGUUAGAAAUCGUAUCUAGAGUGUAAAGGCAUAAGGAAGCUUGACUGUGAGACCUACAAGUCGAGCAGGGACGAAAGUCGGUCUUAGUGAUCUGACGGUACUGAGUGGAAAGGCCGUCACUCAACGGAUAAAAGUUACUCUAGGAUAACAGGCUGAUCUCCCCCAAGAGUUCACAUCGACGGGGAGGUUUGGCACCUCGAUGUCGGCUCAUCGCAUCCUGGGGCGGUAGUACGUCCCAAGGGUUGGGCUGUUCGCCCAUGAAAGCGGUACGCGAGCUGGGUUCAGAACGUCGUGAGACAGUUCGGUCCAUAUCCGGUGUAGGCGUUAGAAUAUUGAGAGGAGCCUUCUUUAGUACGAGAGGACCGAGAAGGACAUACCUCUGGCGUACCAGUUAUCGUUCCAACGGUAAACGCUGGGUAGCUAUGUAUGGAGUGGAUAACCGCUGAAAGCAUCUAAGUGGGAAGCCCACCUCAAGAUAAGUAUUCUCAUC